GAUGAAGAACGUAGCGAAAUGCGAUACUUGGUGUGAAUUGCAGAAUCCCGUGAACCAUCGAGUCUUUGAACGCAAGUUGCGCCUCAAGCCAUUAGGUUGAGGGCACGUCUGCCUGGGCGUCACAUAUCGUUGCCUGAUGCCAGUUUCCUCGUGAUGGGUGACUGUGCAGGGCGAAUGAUGGCUUCCCGUGAGCAUUGUUGCCUCAUGGUUGGUUGAAAAUUGAGUCCUUGGUAGGGAGCGCCGUGAUAGAUGGUGGUUGAGUGACGAACGAGACCCAAUCAUGUGAGACCCCUACCGAAUUUGGCCUUCAUGACCCACAUGCGUCUUUGGAAAGCUCAUGACGAGACCUCAGGUCAGGCGGGGCUACCCGCUGAGUUUAAGCAUAUCAAUAAGCGGAGGA
rnacentral:misc_RNA from 1 species